rnacentral:lncRNA from 1 species
AGAUUUUGAGAUACUGGAUAAAGUGUUGAGGUGCCAAGUGCCUUUCCGUUAAGACUCCGUCGAUGAACAAUUUAAAGACCAUAGGCCUUCCAGACUCGAUGCCUCGGCGGAAGUACAAGGUGGCUUUAAUCUCCUUGGAACCAAAACGUUUCAGUUCUAUACAUUCAGGUUGAUAAGGGCGCGAUUCUUGGAUCUUUAUUCUACCGCUUGUAUUAUUUUCUAGUAUCGUUACCCUAGACAGCAGCGGCACCAUGAAGGCCAGUUCUGUUGUUUUUCGCUUUUCUUUUCGGUAAUCUAAAACACAUAAAGGAGAAUUAUUUAUAGGGCUGCGACUGGAAAUAUGUGAACAUAGAUAAAGAAAAUCUUGAUAAUUGAAGUGGGCGGCGGCUAAGAUAUCAAUACUCGCAUUGCGAUAUAUGAACAUAGAAAAUUCUGAUAACUUGAGUAAGACAUUCUAGAAUGCUUUAUUGGAUAAGAUAUCCAUAACCGGGUCGCAAUAUAUGAAAGUUUAUACGAAUAAAUCCAUCCCUUCGGUCUUAUAAAUUUUAUCUAUCAAGAAAAAUUAGUUAAAUAUGUUCUUGUUACUUAAUUUGUUCUAUAAUAAAGGUAAUUGGCUAAUAUAUAAGUGAAAGAUUCAAUGUUGAUAUUUUAAUUUUGUUUAAUUUUUAAUAGUUUGAAGCAUAUUAAAUAAAGAUAAAAUAGUAAGCUUAAAUUAUUUUAUAUAUAAAUGUGAAAAUGAGGGAGAAUAAUGAGACUUUUAAUAAUAUUUUUAUAAUUAGAAACGGUAAUUUUAAAAUUAAAAUCAGCGGUUUAAAAAUAUAAUCAUAGGUAAUUUUAAUAUCGUUGAGGAAUAAAGCAAUUAAUUUCAACGGAAAAAAGUAGUAUUAAUUAUUUCAUGUAAAUAUGAUAACUAUAGAACUUUCCUUUAAUAUAGAUAUAGAUGUAUAUAGAAAGAUAUUGAAUAUAUAUAUAAUAAACAUUAAUUUUUAAAAUUAAAAAUUAUAUCAAAAUAAUGCAAUAAUUAAAAUUUUAAAUAUUGAAAAUAAAAAAAAAAAAAAUAGUACUCUCUUUCUCAGAUAAUUAAAGUUGGAUUAAAUUUGACUAGAUCUCAUUUAUGUUGGAAGGGCUUUGCAUGAGUAGUAACUUGUUAAAUAUUAAUUCUGUUCUUGAAUUAACCUCUUAUGUGUGCUUAUUCUUGCAUCAACAGACAUCCUUUUUAUCAAAUAAAAAUAAAAUAAAUCCAAUUUCAGAAGUUUGUCUACUUUAUGGACUUUUAUAGUAAAAAAAAAAAAAAAAAUCCACUUCUUCUAAAAAUUUCCAAUUGCACCCUCUAUUAUUUUAUUUUUUCUUAAACAAUUUUCAGAUGGGCAAUAAUUAAAUAGAAUUAAGAAUUGUAGAGGUGAAUUUAAAGCUAUAGAUGAACUGAGCAACAGCUAUAGAGAAAUUGGGGAGUUAUCAAUUUUAUAUAGUAAAACUGUGAAAUAAAGAACAUUUGGGCUUUAUGGCCGUUAUGAAAUAUAUUUUUAACGUAUUGAACCCCUAGCCCAAGGCCCAAUAAAAAUUUAGGCCUAAUUUCAGAUGUCACCACCAUAGUGCAUAGUCAUUGGGAAGCAUUCCUUUCGUCCUCUCCUGAACAAGCCUCUUCCUCCACUUCAGUUGCCACAACCAUACAUGGGCAGUCUAUAACAGUUAUGUGUGGCGUAUUCUUGGACACUUAAAUAAAAGAUUUUCAGGUAUGUGUUUGGAUUUUGUUAAAAUUUCUUUUGCUUUUUAAUGCUUUUACUGUUUUCUUUAUUUGUUUUAUAUAAUUCAGAUCGAUCUGUUCUCUUUUCCCUGUGUUCUUCAAGUGAAUGCUCUUACUGGGUAUUAAUUAUAUGGUUAUAAAAUUUUUAGCGGCUUAAAUAAAAGGGAAUUUUGUUUUUUAUGUUUUGUAUCAAUUCUUUGUUUGUUCAUUGAUUUUGGGCGUAUUAUAAAUCAGAUAAUUUUUCCCAAUCUGAUGAACUCUUAAGUUAUCGCAAAUAGCUAUCUUUGUCUUGCUUUCUUGGUUGAUUUAUGAUAAAGAUAGGGGAAAUGCUCAGAAGUAGAGAAUUAAUGUUCUUAUAGUGCUGACUUGCUCUUCCCUAAGCCGUUUGGUAGGCUUCUACCCCAAAGUAAAGUGGUCUUUUUUCAAGGCUCUAAGCUCAAGACCCGUGCCUGGCUCGGGGAAUAUCUAGUUUGGUAUGUAGUUUCCCACCGUACUAAUUACUUGAGAAAUGAUUGCUACACCUUUCUUGAACAUCUCAGUCUAAUUAAACUUCAUUUAUAUGCCUAUAAAUCAUAUAUCUUCCCUUUGAAGUGAUUUGCAAAACUAAAUUAUGAGUGAAAGGACCUAUUUUAAGAUUAUUGAAAACAAAAAUGAAUAAGUGAAUUUGUUUUGAUGUAUAACUUAGUUAUUGAUGUCUUAUCUAAGCUAUCUUUUAAUUAUUAAUGUUUAUGUUGUUAGGUGUUAGAAAUUUUGGUAGAUAUUCUGCAUGAAUGGGAAGCCUUCUUUACCUUUCUUUUUUGACACAUGGAGUGGAAGAAUUUGAUAGGAAAAUAAAAAAGACAAUAUUAAUGUCUGGAAUUUUCCGGUAGCAUUAAUGAUUCUCCGGUUGGUUUCUCAAAUAUUUUAUCAUGGAGUUGCUCCUGCUUUAUAGGAAUUCUGUUUCAUUUGAAUCGAUAGUACCUACCGCUUGGAAGAAAAUGCAACUUACUUUGCCCUUUAAGUUUUUUAAAACCCGGCCAAAGCCCGUAGGCCCUGAUUUUCCUUUUACUGCUCCAUCAACAUUAAAUUUAAAACAGUUGCCAUUCGGAGGAAUCCAAGGCAAAGAUGAUUUAACAACAGAAGUUACUUUCUUGAAAGGUAACCUACUACAGGAAACCAAAAAUGGCCGACAACACCAAUCCUUAUAAUCAUAAUGGAUAGAAGGAAAUCUGGAUUCUAACAAUUCAAAACUUCAAAAUUUAAGACCAUCCAAUACAUCCUCACAGCUUUGAGAAAUAAAGAAAAAAAUUACCUGGUUGCAUCUCAACAUUAAAGACGAUGAGGCAAUGGAAAAUAUUAUUUUCCAUGCUACCCAUACACCAUUGAAACUUAUCAAACUCUCCCAUUUUCAACCUAAGUUAUUAAAAUUUAAAAAUUUUAUCAUAUGGCUUCAAUUUUAUUAUUUUUGAGGAGAAAUUCCACCUCAAUUUUGGAAGAAGUGAGAUUUCUUAGUUCUAUCAAUUUUUUUUAUGAUAAAAUUUAAACUACUUAAUCUUUUUCCAAAAAUAACGGUCAAAAUCAUAUAUUUUGUUUUCGUUUUUAAAGAAAAAUAUUAACUUCCAUUAACACAAAUCAAUAUCAAUUAGUCUUCCAUUAAAAGCACAUGACCCCCUUAAAAUCAAAGGUAGAAUAUGUAUAAGUAGCCACUGGAUAAAUGAGUAAUUGCUAACCAUUCACUGAAGAAACAAGAAAAAGUGAAAUAAGAGUUAUUCAUUGGUUUUGUAACAAGUAAUUUCCUUUAUUUCCAAAGCUAAAAUAUCUUUGGCCAUAGUUAUUAUACUUUUAUUUAUCCAUACCAUACCAUCUCAUCCCAAUCUUCUUAUUACUCUAACUUCAUCUGCAAGCAAUGGAGCUACAAGCAAUCAACAUGACAACAGUGAAGGCAAACAAGACACAGACCAUGAAACAAAUGUAAGCUUGUCUUCGAUGUACUUCAAACAUGUCCGGUUUCGUCAUCAUCUCUUCCUGCUCCUUCCGAUCUUCGAUUUGAAAUUUGUGAUGUUUAAUUAAGAACAUUUUGUAGAACAAAGUUUCUUUAUCUAGCAAGUUCAACUCGUAGUAAUAUUUCAUUCUCGACCAUUUUGUGAUGUUACUUAUAAAUGCGAGGCCAAAAAGAAUGGCAAUUAGCAACACUAAGCAAAAUGGGAUCCACCAAAAAUUACACAAGCCAUUCGAAUUUGAGGGUUGAAAUAAAGAAUGGAAAAUGAUGGCACAAAAGGAAAUGUAAGAAACGACAUACCAAAUGGCCUUUUUUUCAGUUUCCUCUAUUCUUUUCUCUUGUAUUUCUAUGGUAUAGCACAAUUCUUUAUGGUUGUUGGUCAGUUUUUCCAAUCUUAAAUUCACUUCCGGCGUCAUAGUUAAGUUUUGAGAUUGGAUUUGGAUUUCUAAUAUUGGACGAGUAAAUUUAUGUACGACGUUAGAAAUAAACAAAUAAAAUUUGAUGGCCAAAUGAAACCUACAUAUAAAAGAGAUAACGAUAAUUCCAAAAAAAAAAAAAAAAAAAAAAAAAAAAAAAAAAGAUAUAACGAGGAAGAAAAUAAAUGAUGAGGAAAAGAAGAAAUGAUAUAAAAAAGAGCAAGAGAAACAAAUGAACUAAUAACUUCUAGGGAUCCAAAGGAACCGAAACUCAUUGUGUAUAUAUAUAGUUUGGAGACCGCGUGAUAUUAAACAAACAAUAUAUUGAAAAAUUAAUUAAAAACGACUUGACAGAUGAAGGUUUUUGAAUUAAUUAGAAAUUAAUUAUUUAAUUACUGUAAGGUCAAUGUUCAAUAUUCUUGGUUUCCCAUUGAAUUUCAUUGUUUUUUCCUGCUUGAAUUAUACAUUUAGCAUUGAAAAAUAUCAUUCUUAGCUAAAAUAUAAAUUUUAACUGCUCUUCAAAAUAAUAUAUAAUCCUAACUAACGACAUUAAUAAUAUCAUACUGCAACUUUUACAUUUCAAAGUCUUCUCUGAUAUUUAAAGAAUAAUAAGAAGAAGAAAAAGAGGAAACCAUGCAUGUCACAAGAAAAGAAAUGUUUGAAACUCUACGUGAAUUCUGGAGGUGGAAAAAUGAAUCAUGUAUGAAAAAAAAAAAAAAUUGUUUAAUGCAUAAUUAGAUGAUCUAUACAUAUUGUCUAAUAUUGGAGAAAAUAAUAGGAUUUGAUGAUAUGAUAUAAGAUAUUAACACACACAUGUAUAAGCACACACACAAACAUAUAUAUAAAAUUCCAUGCAUUAGGUGUUAUAAAGCUCGUUAUUUAAUUAAAAUUAAAUUAUUAAAAUAAAAAAAAUUUAAGAAUAAAGAAAAUGAUUUUUAAAAAUCUCAAAAUUUCAAUUUUUCAUCCCAAAUUAUAAGUUUCCUACAUAAGUGAACUGUUCUAAUUGAUAUUAUACGCAAAAUUAUUAGAACUAUUUGUUACACUAUUACUACAUUUGACAUUUAUAGUAGCCUAAUGAAGUAAAUAACAAGACCCUGAAUAUCUGAGGAAAAAAAAAAAAACGAGCACUUUUUCAUAAAGUUGUGAAAUCAUAAAAUUCAGUAUAUAUAUAUAAAACUAAUUUAAUUACUUGUAUAUAUUGAAAAAAAGAAGAAAAAAAAAAUUCCAAAGUGGUUCGACUCAAAUUCUCUAUUGCAUCACAGGCCAAUUAAUUUCAGCUACUAUUGCCCACAGAUCCUUAUGCAGUUAUCACCAUUACAAAGCUUAACACAUUUAUGAUUCACUUCUGGCAAAUCGUGGCAUUUACUAUCUCUGCAAAUAAUAUGCCAGCAACCAUAAAGCGUAACAAUGGCGAAGCCAAUGAAGAGAAGCAUGCAAGCUGCGAGCAAAAUGUUCCGUAUAACUUCUUUAUAAGGGUCAAUCCAAAAGUUUUGGGUUUGCUGCACCCUUUCCCUUGAAAUUUCAAUAUCAUUGUACUCGCACCAGGUUUUGUCAUGCUGGGCUACGAUUUUCUUGUACUUAUGUGCAAUCUUGCUUAGGGCAAUAAGAUUGAGAGUUGCUGCUAAGAGAGAAAGAGUGAAAAUGAACCAACGAUCUGAGCAUUUGAGAGAAGAAUUUCCAUUGCAAAUUGUUGUUAAAAUAACACCUUGAAAUACAAAAUAAAAAUUAGCUAAUUGGAAAGCAUUCGUUUGAAGAUUCUGAAGAUGAUCUUCUUGACUCUUUAUUCUGGUUCUUACUUCCUCCUUUCUUUUCUCUGUAUUUGCCAUGGUGACAGGUAGCUCCACAUGCAGGUGUGAGUGAGAGAGAAAAGAUUCUUGAAUACAUAUAAUUUACUAUAUAUCAAGAAAAUGCUCGCUUUUAUAGGCAUGCAUGGUUAAGUUUAUCAAUUAGUUUGAUUUAUAUAUUAGUUACCAACUGUCGAACACUUGUAAGCUAUCCACAUUGUUAUAUUAUUAUUAUUCUAUUGACAACAAAGCCUUUUUUUUUUUUUUUUACAACAUUAUGUGUAGGUUUCAAAUAUUGAGAGAUGAGAUCGGAUUAUGUUUUGUAGAAGUGAGUAAUGAGAAUUUGGAAUUUGAGUUAUUUUUACCACAAAAUUAUAAAAAAUUAUCAAAAUAUGAAAAAAUGUGUCAUAUCAUGUUAAUUAGCCUAUAUAUAAAUAAUGAAUAAACAAAAUAAAAUCAUAGAUUAAUGAAAAAAAAAUAUAAUAAUACACAAAUAUACCAAAGACAUCCUUAUGAUUUUAUAAAUAAAUAAUAAUAUAUAUAUUUUUUUGAAAUUAUAUCAAGGGUAUCCUCUCAUCUUUGUCUAACAAUUUGAUAAAAGACUAAUUCAUUUCCAACGAUCUUGCGAUCAUUAAGGUGAGAUGCAGUGAGUUUCAACUAUUAGACUAAACUAUCUUGGGCAAUAAAAAUAUUUUAGUUUGAAAUUGUACAGUCUUGCUUCGUGAUAUCUAUAAAUUUAAUAAGACUUACCUACACUGAUAUAUGAGACUAUCCAUACACAAAGCCAACUGAAUAAAUAUUUUUUAAAGAAUUUUUUUUUUCAAUGAAUGGUAAAAAUUAAAUUCCUUUGAGUAAAAAAUUAUUUUUAAUUUGAUUUAGUGUAUGGUUAGGAUCACACGUAACAUGCUGCUAGCUAGAAGGUCUAUCUUCAAGUAAUUGUAGUCGCAUUUUCCAUUUCUUGCUUUGUUUACAUAUUUAAAACUAGGCUGACUGUUAUAUUGCGCGUAUUGAAACAUUCAUUCGGUUAAUUCAUUAUAUUCAAAUCAAUUAGAAAACAUUAUCAAGGAUAUAAACUUGAUAAGGUAAUUAGAAGCAUAGUCAUUAAACUCGGAUCAACCCAUAGCGAGUCAACCUGGAGAACUGGUCUUAAAAUCGGUUUGAUUUUGUUUUUGACCCAUUUAAGGUAGAUUACCGAAUUGAAUUGGUUGACGUGUGGUUAAACUGAUUGAUCUACAGAGACUCAAUUGAUCCCACCAAUGUUUUAUAUUUUUAAUUAUAUUAUAGUUAUUUUAAAUUAUAAUUAUAUAAUAAGUAUAUAUUAUUAAUAUUUUUAUAACUCACUAAUUAAACUAUUGAUCCACCGGAUAAACCAAUGACUCAUCCACCUAGUUCUUUAGCCGGGUUGGGUUUAAUAACACUUGCUAGAAGCAUUCACGCUUCAAAUUUUGCGAAAAUUGGAAUGUGACAUAUGUUCAACACCUUCUUAUAUAUAUAUAUAUAUAUAUAUAUGUUCCCUUUUUGUCUUAAAUGGCUAACAAAGGUUCAUACAGAAUAUCAAAUUGUUCAUACAUACUUUUUUUUUUUUUUCAGAGAGGACUUUGAAAAGUUCAAAGUCACAAUACUAUAUUCAUUAUGUUAGGUGAGAUUUUUAGAAUAUAAUUAAAUAUUCACAUAAUCCAAGAACAAGUUAGUUACCAUGAAAUAAUUAAUGGAAACCAAGUCUGAAAACUAAUAAAUAGACGUUUAUAUUAAAUAAUUUGCAAUUAAACCAGCAUUUUUUAACUUGACCUUCAAUUGUUUUCCAUUUUUCAGAGCUUAUAUAUACAAACCAAGCUGCUAUAAUGAGACCGGACAUUCUUCAAAUAUCAAACCUAUAAAGAGUUGAGGGAAGUGUUAAGAAUCUCAUGUUGUUAAAAUAUCGAAUCCAAAUUCAUGGGUUCUAGCCUGCUGUGAUUUUGGGUGCCUGCUGUUCAAUCCAUUGCAAGUGAAGGAAACUUUUAGUGGUGAGUUAUUCAUUCUUCAUUAUCCUCUUUGUAUCAUCUAACAAAUUGGAACAUUGUUCAAAUGAAGACUUUAUUAUUUUGAUCAUAAUACAUUCUAUUUACUACAAUGGAGUCUCACCAAAAAUUUUUAAUAAAAAAUUAGGAGCUCGCACUUACAGAUGUAAUAAAAACUCAUUCAAAAACUUUAUUGUAAUUAUUCAAGGAAUAAUUAGAACUUCUUUUUAUGUCGGAACUAUAAAUUGGUCUGACUUUGAUAUGAGCAACCGGUUCAACUCAUGUUUAAUUUAAUAAUUUAUAAAAUGUACAGUAAAUAUUUUUUUUCUCAAUUAUUAUAUCACUCUAUAUUCAGCAUUUGAUUACAUUGCAAAUAAAAAUUGUAACUAUAUUUAUUCAAAAAUUUUAUUUUUCUCAAUUAUUUAUUGAAUGAAAUUCACAAAUUUAUUUAUUUUAUUUGUCGUUUUAUUUUGUCUUUUGGCUUUUCCCACAUUUUUAUUAAACAAUAUUUUUGAAAUUGUUCAACUAAAUGUGUUGAUUUUUAUCCUUCAAAAAAAAAAAUGUAUUGAUUUUCUAUUUACUAAGUUGAAUAUGAAAGAAGAAAAUUGUAUUCAUGUUUUGUUCUGUUUUAAGAUUAAGAUGACAAUUGCAAGAUUUUUAAAUUUUAUUUAAAAAAAAGAAAUGCAAUUAUGCAAUUUUGAUAAUAAUAAGUUAUUAUCUGUGAUGUCUACUUAACGUAAAAAUUAUUAAUUUAGGAAAAUGGUUAUUUUUUAUUGCCUCUGUAUACUAUAUUGUGCUUAGGAUUAUUACUUACAACAAAAAUUGUCAAUUUAUAAAAAUAUUAUUUUCCACGUAUAAAAUAAUUUGUUAUGACACAAUAAAAAUGUAAUUCCAUUCAUCAAGUUAUAAUAUAAGGAGUACAAAAAAUCCUUGAAAACAAGGAAAAUUACGAAACAAAGAAAAAAAAAAAAAAAACAAAUGGAACCUUCAAACAACCGUUUCGACUAUCAAAACUACAGCAAACUGAGAAAACAAAAAGAGGAAGAAAUUCUUAGACCCACUUUUGAGAGACAAAGAACACCAACAACAUAAGCAGGUCCAAUUUCAAAUCCUAAUUAAACAAGCCGAAGAGCUCCGCUCUGCCUGCAGACUAGCUAAACUCAAAGUAACCAAGCAACAGCAUCUUGUGAUCUUCUAAUUGCUUCUUUGGCCAAUGAAUCAUAAGCAAAAUGAUUGCCUUCAAUUCCUUGUGUAGUCUGUUCAAUGAAAAAAACCAAGUGUCAAGAUAUGAUAUAUAAUUCUAAUUUUAAAUAUCUCAAUCAAUUAAAUUAGGAAGGAAAAAAAAAUUUCCAAGUGCAAGCAAGGUUUAUAAUUUGAAUUAGUAUAAGAUUCAAAAGGCUUUUAACAAGCCCACCAACUUGCAAGAAGCGAUCUACAACAAUUAGUCAACACUUUCCAUUAAAGGCCCAAUAAUACCCAUGUAUUUCCGCUCAUAGUCAACCACUAAUAGGAAAAAUUUAUUUAGAUCCGAUUUAUUUCUCUAUUUAUAGAUCAAACUAAUUAAGAAUUUUUACUAAAGAGGGUAUUUAUAAUCAUACAUUUAUAUAAAAAAUAAAAUAAAAUUAAAAUAUUUUAAAAAAUCCUUAAUUUCAUUUCUUCUUAACCCAAACCCUAAACACUGAAUCAUACGGCCUAAGCCCUAAACCCUGAAUAAGGUUGAAAAAUUGGUUUGAUUUUGGACAAGUAUUUUCCUUGACAAGGUAAAGACGUACCUUUUAAAACUUUUAAAAUUUCAAUGGAUGAGCUCUUCUUCCCCUGUUUGGCGACCUCUGCCCAUGAGAAAGCCCAGUCCGCUGUUAACCAACAAUAUGAAGCUUAAUUAAUUAAAAGAAAUUGCAUGGAUCCUGUAAGUAUAUAUUUGCAGGGUAGGAAAGUUUCAAUCUAUGGAUGAAAGAUGAGAAAAAAAUAUAUAUAAAGAAGAGCAAAGAAAAUGAAAACCGUAGGCGGCGGAGGUGGCAAGUAAAGGUGGUUGGGCGGAUCCCUUUCACGAUAAGCUGACCACUGUUAUUAUCAACGGAGAAGGAGAUUUUAAGAUACUGGAUAAAGUGUUGAGGUGCCAAGUGCCUUUCCGUUAAGACUCCGUCAAUGAACAAUUUAAAGACCAUUGGCCUUCCAGACUCGAUGCCUCGGCGGAAGUACAAGGGGGCUUUAAUCUCCUUGGAACCAAAAGGGCUCAGUUCUAUACAUUCAGGUUGAUAAGGGCGCGAUUCUUGGAUCUUUAUUCUACCGUUUGUAUUAUUUUCUAGUAUCGUUACCCUAGACAGCAGCGGCACCAUGAACGCCAGUUCUAUUGUUUUUCGCUUUUCUUUUCGGCAGGGAAAGGAUAACAGAGCUUAAGA